rnacentral:ncRNA from 1 species
AGCAUGUGGCAUCAUUUGACUCAGUACGGAAGAGCUCGCCCGGCUCGGACACAGAAAAGAUUGACAGAUUAAGGGCUCUUUUUUGAUUCUGUAGGUGUUGGCGCAUGGCGGUUUUUAGUUGGUCGAGCGAUCUGUGUAGUUAAUUCCGAUAACGAAAGAAACUCUAGCCUACCAAAUAGACGCUCCGAUCCUUCGAGUUGGACGUUCUUUUUUUAGAGGGACAAGCGGCGUUUAGCUGCACAAGACAAAGCAAUAACAGGUCUGUGAUGUCUUUAGAUGUCCGGGCCCCGCACGCACGCU